CAAUAGCGUAUAUUAAAGUUGUUGCAGUUAAAAAGCUCGUAGUUGGAUUUCUGAAGGUGGUUGGAUUGGUGUGACCUCGCGUUGCCUCAACCAUACUAUUUUCAACAUAUGCGAUGAAUUGGUGUGGUUAAUUAAGUUUGAUCCGCCAUUAAAUCGCUCGUUUACUUUGAGAAAAUUAGAGUGUUCAAAGCAGGCAUAACGCCUUGAAUAUGUUAGCAUGGAAUAAUAGCAUAGGACUUUGGUUCUAUUUGUUGGUUGUUCGAGAACCGGAGUAAUGAUUGAUAGGGACGGUUGGGGGCAUCCGUAUUCUCAAGCGAGAGGUGAAAUUCUUGGACCUUGGGAAGACGAACAGCUGCGAAAGCGUUUGCCUAGGACGUUCUCUUUAA
rnacentral:rRNA from 1 species